rnacentral:misc_RNA from 1 species
GAGUUGCCAUUUUGAUUUUGAAAAUGUAAACAGUCAACUGUCGUUCUAAUAAGCAGCGUGUUGAAAUCUUGUAUUAAUUUUGUUUUUCAACUUAUAAUUUAUUAUCGAUCUUUCAAGUUUAGUUAAUUUAUUCAAAAUUUUGUUUUACUUUGAGUAAUUAUGCUUGGAAGAUGCGAAGCUGACUUUCGUGCUCACAGAAAUCGCAGAAAGUCUAGGCUUGGAAAGUUUAAUUCUGAAGUUGAAAGACCUAUUGCGCUUCCUAGCUCUAUUGUCUGUGCUAUUGCACCAAGAAGAACACUUGGAAGUCGAAUGAACCAAGUGCUCUAUCAAGAAGCAGCUCUUAAAAGAAAGAAAGAAGCAGUAAAAGCAAAUCCAAAAAAGUGUCUGUUCUCUGAGCCAGAAAAUGAGAAUGCUGAUAAUCAUUAUCCAUCCAAGAUACAAAAGAGUGCCACUUACUCCAUGCAGUAUGGAUUCUCUUCAUCAGAGGAUCAUGAUGAGACCGGCGUUUUCCCAAUGGACGAUCCGUCAAAAACGAGAGUACUGGGUGUCAGAAACAUGGAGCCCCAAGACACUUCCGGUCAGCGACUUCCGCUCAAGGACCACAACUUCCGGUCUACAACCAACAAGCCAGCCCAACAGCUGUUCAAGAACCAUCCGACAGAGGCCGCCAAGAAAUGUCUUCCAAAACAGCUGACAUCUUGGAACCUGGUCCAAUCUCCCGUUUUGCCGAAGCUAAGUGGUUUCACAACUGCCAAAACUCCUUAUUCCCAAAAGUCAAAACAUGUUGACUCACCUGUUAUGCCUAGGCUAAGCACUUUCCCCCUAGCUGUAAAAACUACCAUAAAAAUCAAUGCUGUUCCUCCUGAGGAAAAUUCCUACAAAUCUAAGGAUUUUCCCCACAAAAAUGGUAGCUUAAAAUGUAGAGAUUCAGACAAUACAUCAAAUUCCAACUACUCUAAAAAUGGGGGGCAAACACAAUCUACCACAGACAUUACAGAAAUGUUGACUUUCAAGUAUCCUAUAACAGAUAUACCUAAUUAUUCCAGUGCAGAUUUGUCAACUAUGAUGAAUUUUAAGUAUCCCACUUCAAACAAUGAUCCUCGUUCAGAAAGGUUGAAUUUGAAGAAUCCUGUGAAUGAUGCUCUGAAAGAUUCUAGUUCAAGUCAUUCUGAAGUGAAAUUGAAUUUCAAGUAUCCUGUCACUGAUGAACCGAAAGGUUCCAAUGCACCUGUUUCUGAGUUUGUGCCGAAUUUUAAAAGAUACCCUGUUGCUGGGGAGUUGAAUGAUUGUUCUAGAAAUCAAACACAGUCAUCUAAUUGUAAUAAUUAUGGGCGGCAACAGUCAGUGACUGAUUCAUCAAAACUAUCCAAUUUUGAUUUCCCUGUAAGCGGGCGAGCGAAUGAUUGUGCUUCGAAUCCAACAAAACCAUCAAAUUCGAGCAUCACUGAUUCCAACCAGGUGGCAAGGUUUGAACGAGAUGUAUCCAACGAUUAUAAUAACCAAGGGAUGAUGUCUACCUUCAAGAUGGAACAAAUGACAGAAAAACAGAGGAAAAAGUCAAUUUCAGAAAUGGAAUUCGAAAAAAUUUGCCAAAUGAAAAAUGAUGGCUCACAGUCGCUGUUGUUGGAUUUCUGUCUCAAUGGCAAGUCUGUUUUGGAAGAAAAUGGCGCGGGAAAUAGUAAAGAAAAUGUUCAAAACAACGAUGCCACAAAUAAUCAUGGAGAGAGACGUAGUGUUUCAAGUAAUAAUAUGAAUGGAAAUGGUACAAGACGUAGUAUUUCAAGUAAUAUGAAUGGAAACGGACCUGCACGUAGUAUUUCAAGUAAUAUGAAUGGUAAUGGCGCUCGGCGUAGUAUUUCAAACAAUACUAUGAAUGGAAACGUAGCUCCACGUAGUAUUUCAAGUAACUUUCUGAAUGAAAAUGUUGUACAUCAUUCAAAACUGAAACAACCCAAUUUCUAUGCAAGCAAAGUUGAGAGUAAGCUACAGCCUUCAGGAGCUGAUCUAAAACUUAAUAAAAAACUCAAUGAUAUCAGAAAAGAUUCAUCAAAUUUUGUCAUUCAUAAACGUAAAGAUUCAUUCAUAUCUAGUGAUACAUUAAGCGAGGAUGAUAGCUUCAACCUCGAUACCAUCUUGAUUAAUAACUAUGAAUCUAGCACAUUGAUUGUUAAUGAACCGAUUAUGGAUGCCAGUGUGAAAGAUGUGGAAAAUAUUGAUGAGACAUUGAGUAAUAUUCAGUUGAAUGAUGUGGGGGAAACGUUUGUGGUAACAAGUAAUAUGCCAAGGAAAUUGUUUUUGGGUGGAGAUGAAAAUGUGUCAAGCGUUGUGGAUAAUGUUGAAGGUUUAGGGAAAACAUUUUUAGUUGGAGGGAACAUUGAUGGAACGGUUUCUAAAGAAAAUAAUGUAUUGUCCGUCGUGGCUCCUUAUCCGGAUAGGAAGCGGAGUAUAGGCGAAACGUUUCUGGUUCCCCAUAAAAAUGUACAGAAAGUUCUGUUUGAUGAUAAAAAGUUCUGUCAAGAGAACAAAGAAUCUAUUUUGAAAGCAUCAGCAUUUGAGGUUCAAAGUAAUCAGAGUAUUGAUAUGGGAGUGGAAAUGCUAAAUGAAUCAUUGGAUACGACUUUAAGGUUUGUUCAAAACGAAACACUGUGUGAAAAUGAGAAUGAGGCAACAAUGUUGGAGAGUGGUGUGAAGAAUAGGAGAGAAAGAGAUGGAGGAGUUCGUUGUAGGAGAAAUUUAGUAGAUGGAAUGAGUGUUGACAGAAAUUUGGAAGAGGAAAAUGGUACUAGAAGAAAUAAUUUAGUAGAAGAAAAUGCUACAAAAACUUUGGAAGGAGAAAUAAAUGUUGGAAGAGAUUUGGGUGAACAAAUAAGUGCUGGAAGGAGUUUAGUAGAGAAAAUGGAUGUAAAUGUAAUGAGAAACAAUGUAAUAGAUUUUAUAAAUACUGGGGAGGAAGAAAUAUAUUUGCAGAAUAAUAGGAAAAUUGCAGAUAAUUGUCAGUUUAUUCCCCAACAUUUUAAAAAUUCUACCACUUCUGUGGAGGUAUCAAAGAAUGAAGUUCCAGAGAAUAACCAGCGCAAUGACAGUUUUAUAAAUGAAGUUAUGAAGAGGCAAAAAUUGUUGAUUCAAAAAAGUGAGGAGUUAUUCAGAAGUCGUCGGCAGAUUAUGGCACAGAUAAAAGUAUUGGAAAAGUCUCUUAUAGAGCAGGAAGAUCAAUUUAUCGAGAUAAAUAGGGAGUUCUGUGAUUUAGUGACGGAAUUUGGUGAAGUUGUAAUUAAUCAAAAGGUGAAGGCUGCGGUAUCAGAUAAAGUUGAUACAGUAUCAAGUAAACGUGAUACGGUUACAACUGAAAUUGAUACAGUAUCAAAGAAAGAUGCUGAAAAAUUGACAGAAAGCGUAAUAGUUCCUUUUUCAGUACGGAAAAACGCCUUUGAUACCCCCAGAAGUGCACGACGGGUUAGGCGAAAUUUGGUUUUCAGUCAGUUGAAGUCAGAUUUCAGCUGUUUGAAAACCCCGCUACCCUCUACCACCAAAAAACUACAGGAAUCUACAGCGAAUAAAACUAUUUUGACACCAAAGUCUAUGUCGGUCUGUAUUCAGGAUCAGGUCAACCAAUUGUUCGACUCUUAAGACUCCAAUUUCAUACUGGAUCAAAGUAAUUGAUAAAACGACUUGAUAUUGUCACAACCAAUUUUUAGUCAACUCAGUAGACACUAAUAUUGAUGUAAAAAGCGACUCAGGUAAUUUCCAAGUGUCUCAAAAUAAAGUUAUUAUUUUUCAAGAAAUAUGUGGCUGCGGCUAUAUAUCAAUGAAGCGAAUUCAUAUUAUCGCAACAACUUAGGCCCGCCGCAAAGUAGACCCACGCUAAUCCACGAAAAGCAACCCACGCCGUGGGAUGUUUUGUAAACCAUUGCUAAGUUUAUGUGUGAUACAUGCAAUGAAUAAUCCACUUGUCAGCUGAUUGAUUAUGAAUAAUUCUAUAGCAAUGGUUUACAAAACAUCCCAAGGCGUGGGUUGCUUUUCGUGGAUUUUCGUGGGUCCACUUUGCGGCGGGCAUUAUUCAUUGAAAAAUUAUAGUAAACUCUAAUAUAGUCCGUGCUAAUCUUAGUUUGCAGUACGGAGCUUUAUGUCCAAUGUAAUUCCUUACAAGAGUAAGAAGAGCGCACUGUUACCGUUUUUAUGCUAACUCCAUAAAAAUUACCCGUGCUCUCUUUUUUGCUCUUUCACAAUUGACUCACAGGCUUUCUGGCUUCUGUGAAAUCUGGCAGUACUGUACUCCAUAAGGGCAAUGCUGCAAUCUAGGUUAGACUAUAGGAACUCAUGAUAGAAAAACUAGUUUUUCAAGUAUUGAACUUUAAUAAGUUAAAAAAAAUAUAUAAACUAGUUUUGGUUACUACACAAUUUUCAAUUUCUGGUAGAGAUUAUUUUUAAUGUUUGAUGGAAUGAAAAUGUUCUAUUAAUUAGUAGUUAUGAAAAUAUCAAGUCGUUCUAUUCAGUAUGGUUAUCUACUACAUUAUUAUAACUACAUUAUGCCUCACAUUGAGAAGUAUUUAAGUACUUGUUCACAGGACAUCACACACCUUAGUCGUAAUAAUUGAUAGGAUACUACCAGAGAAAACUACUAUAAUGCUAUAUUCUACCACUAUGAACUACUAUAUGCUGUAUUCUGUGGCUGUGGGUACUACAGAUAGCGAAAUCUACUAUCCACCAGCAUAGUGUAGGCCUACAUUAGUUAUUACAUCAUAUACAUUAGGCAUACGGAAACCAAUUUAGACAGGCUUGCAUUAAUUGUACAUCGUUUAUGAGUUAUUAUUUUACUAAUAUGAAAAACGCUCCUGUAUUUAACAAAAUGAAUAUAAAACCCUAGAAUACUAGAAUAUUGUAGAAA